GUGCUUGAUUCGGCAGCACAGAUACUAAAAUUGGAACGAUCCAGAGAAAAUCAACAUGGUCCUUGAGCAAGGAUGGCACUCAAAUUCAUGAAGUGUUCCAUAUUUUU
ensembl:snRNA U6 U6 spliceosomal RNA